CGGUAGGUACUCGAGUGGCGAACGGGUGAGUAACACGUGGGUGAUCUGCCCUGCACUCUGGGAUAAGCCUGGGAAACUGGGUCUAAUACCGGAUAGGACCGCACUUUAGUGUGUGUGGUGGAAAGUUUUUUCGGUGUAGGAUGAGCCCGCGGCCUAUCAGCUUGUUGGUGGGGUAAUGGCCUACCAAGGCGGCGACGGGUAGCCGGACUGAGAGGUUGGUCGGCCAUAUUGGGACUGAGAUACGGCCCAG
rnacentral:rRNA from 1 species